rnacentral:sRNA from 2 species
AAUGCCCUUGAAAUUGUUCACGCUACAUGUCGCCCUGCCAUGGCGCGGACUUAAAAAAAAACAAGGAAAUACUCGUUUGGAAAUUGAUCCUCCCAAAUGCGCAUUGAAGCUGUGAGCACAUUGACCGUCAAUAAGUGAUGGGAAAUGGAACGACUUCAACAGAAACUGAGAGAAAGGCGCAUAGUCCUUGGAAAUGUUAUGUAUCUCCUGACUUCAAUGCAAGUUUAACGGGAAUGAAAGCGAGGAAGAGAGAAAAUUGAGAGCUGUACCUGAGU